rnacentral:rRNA from 1 species
UACGAAGGGGGCUAGCGUUGCUCGGAAUUACUGGGCGUAAAGGGCGCGUAGGCGGACAGUUUAGUCAGAGGUGAAAGCCCAGGGCUCAACCUUGGAAUAGCCUUUGAUACUGGCUGUCUUGAGUUCGGGAGAGGUGAGUGGAAUGCCGAGUGUAGAGGUGAAAUUCGUAGAUAUUCGGCGGAACACCAGUGGCGAAGGCGACUCACUGGCCCGAUACUGACGCUGAGGCCCGAAAGCGUGGGGAGCAAACAGG